rnacentral:tRNA from 1 species
GACCAACUGGCCUAGUGGUUUAUGGCGUCUGUCUUACAUAAUCAGUGUUCACAGAAGGUCCCAGGUUCGAUCCCUGGGUUGGUCA